CACAAGGGGUGAAGCCUGCGGUUCAAUUGGAGUCAACGCCAGGAAACUUACCAGGAGAGACAGCAGGUUGAGGGUCAGUCUGAAGAACUUACCUGACGAGCUGAGAGGAGGUGCAUGGCCGUCGCCAGCUCGUGCCGUGAGGCGUCCUGUUAAGUCAGGCAACGAGCGAGACCCCUAUCAGUAAUUGCUAACUGCUCAGAGAUGAGUAGAGGCUAGUUACAGAGACUGCCGUUGAUAAAACGGAGGAAGGAAGGGGCCACGGCAGGUCAGUAUGCCCCGAAACUCCUGGGCCACACGCGGGCUGCAAUGGUAGGGACAAUAGGUUCCGACCUCGAAAGAGGAAGGCAAUCCCCAAACCCUACCCCAGUUGUGAUCGAGGAUUGAAACCCGUCCUCGUGAAUAUGGAAUCCCUAGUAACCGCGUGUCAUCACCGCGCGGUGAAUACGUCCCUGCUCC
rnacentral:rRNA from 1 species